rnacentral:rRNA from 1 species
AGAGUUUGAUCAUGGCUCAGAAUCAACGCUGGCGGCGUGCCUAACACAUGCAAGUCGAGCGAGAAAGUGGUAGCAAUACCAUGAGUACAGCGGCGCACGGGUGAGUAACACGUGACUAACCUACCCUCGAGUGGGGAAUAACUUCGGGAAACCGAGGCUAAUACCGCAUAAUACCCACGGGUCAAAGAAGCAAUUCGCUUGAGGAGGGGGUCGCGGCCGAUUAGUUAGUUGGCGGGGUAAUGGCCCACCAAGACGAUGAUCGGUAUCCGGCCUGAGAGGGCGCACGGACACACUGGAACUGAAACACGGUCCAGACUCCUACGGGAGGCAGCAGUGGGGAAUUUUGCGCAAUGGGGGAAACCCUGACGCAGCAACGCCGCGUGGAGGAUGAAGUCCUUCGGGACGUAAACUCCUUUCGAUCGGGACGAUUAUGACGGUACCGGAAGAAGAAGCCCCGGCUAACUUCGUGCCAGCAGCCGCGGUAAUACGAGGGGGGCGAGCGUUGUUCGGAAUUAUUGGGCGUAAAGGGUGCGUAGGCGGUUUGGUAAGUCUCGUGUGAAAUCUCUGGGCUCAACUCAGAGUCUGCACGAGAAACUGCCGGGCUUGAGUGUGGGAGAGGUGAGUGGAAUUUCCGGUGUAGCGGUGAAAUGCGUAGAUAUCGGAAGGAACACCUGUGGCGAAAGCGGCUCACUGGCCACAACUGACGCUGAUGCACGAAAGCUAGGGGAGCAAACAGGAUUAGAUACCCUAGUAGUCC